rnacentral:ncRNA from 1 species
ACAACGAAGAGUUUGAUCCUGGCUCAGGAUGAACGCUAGCGGCAGGCUUAACACAUGCAAGUCGAGGGGUAACAGGGAUUGCUUGCAAUCCGCUGACGACCGGCGCACGGGUGCGUAACGCGUAUGCAACCUACCUU